GAUGAACGCUGGCGGCGUGCCUAAUACAUGCAAGUCGAGCGAUCGGACGAGAAGCUUGCUUCUCUGAUGUUAGCGGCGGACGGGUGAGUAACACGUGGAUAACCUACCUAUAAGACUGGGAUAACUUCGGGAAACCGGAGCUAAUACCGGAUGAUAUUUUGAACCGCAUGGUUCAAAAGUGAAAGACGGUCUUGCUGUCACUUAUAGAUGGAUCCGCGCUGCAUUAGCUAGUUGGUAAGGUAACGGCUUACCAAGGCAACGAUGCAUAGCCGACCUGAGAGGGUGAUCGGCCACACUGGAACUGAGACACGGUCCAGACUCCUACGGGAGGCAGCAGUAGGGAAUCUUCCGCAAUGGGCGAAAGCCUGACGGAGCAACGCCGCGUGAGUGAUGAAGGUCUUCGGAUCGUAAAACUCUGUUAUUAGGGAAGAACAUAUGUGUAAGUAACUGUGCACAUCUUGACGGUACCUAAUCAGAAAGCCACGGCUAACUACGUG
rnacentral:rRNA from 1 species